GAACUCAUCGUCUCCAUCUCUCCUCCAUAUCUCACGAAAUCAUGGCUUCCACCGGACAACACUCCAAUCUUAGUCAUUCACGGCCAGCUGAGUUAAAUCUCCUGGGUAUCCCAGUUAGAUAGUAUUAAACAGAAACCUACUUCAUCACCUCUCCCGUCCUCUAAAGUCGUCUCCUUUUCUUCUUCCUCUCAGGCACUUUCUCUGCUCGCCUCAAAUCCUGGAGCCAUGGCGGAAAGACUGUAACAAAGCUGAGGUUCUCAAGGAAUGGUUUCUCUGACCAAGCGAAACAUACUUUCAAAAGAUGUCUACCACGUGAUGGCUUGGAUUAGCAUUUCGUUAUACACAUGGAAGGUGCCAUCAUCUUGGAAGUUAGUUAUGGUUCUCUUGUGGCGUGUCAAUAUCCACGACAGUUCAAACUUGGAACAAAAGUUAAAGAGAAAACAAGCUUUACAAGUCUCCCACAAAUCUUGCGACUCCUGCUCUUAUUUCUGGUGGUGCUUGCCGUGGAGGUGGAGCUGGCUGAUCUGAUGAAUGCAUCUUUGCAUGCAUGGAUACAGUUGGCGGUGUAAGAUUGCCUUCCGGAUACUGUGGCAUUCUUGGAUUCAAAUCUUCCCAUGUGACUAUUUGAAACAAAGGGAUCAUGCCAGUAUCUUAUAGUCUUGAUUCUUGGCCCUUGACUCUGUUAAUAUGGAUACAUAUACAUGUGUGAAGUAAACAAAGGGUCAUACCAGUAUCUUGUAGUCUUGACAAUUCGAGCACUAUGAUUCAUGUGACAAAUUGCAUUUUGUAAUAAUUUAAAGGCUAUGUUUAAAAUUUAGGAUUUAAACCAUAAACUUAAAUUAGUGUUUAUAUUUAUAAAGUACCUAUUACAUUUCAAUCUAUAAAAAAUUGUUUUGUUUGUAUAAUUUUAAUCUUAAACCUAAAAUCAAAAUUUCAAUCAUUUUAAAAUCUAAUCUCAAAUUUAAAAUCAAAACCUCAGACACUAAAUUUUAAAUCUAAACCCUAAAUCUAAUACCCUAAACCCCUAAUUCAAACCCUACAUAUAAGUCAAAAAUCAAAUUACUACAAAUAAUAUAAUUACUAAACUUAAACCUAUUCCUUAUAUAAACAAUAACUUUAUCAAUUUCAUUUUAUAAUAUGUAUCUUAAGCACAAUUCUAUUUCACAAACCCUUCAAACCCUAAACCCUCCAUCUUAACCCCAAAUUUGUAAUAUAUACUUAAAAUAUAUAGAACAUUUUAAACUUAAAUUAUAUAUUGUCAAAACAAAAAAAGAUAACUAUAUAGAUCAUAACUUUCAAAUACAAAACUAUAAAUAUAAUGCCAUAAACCACAUACUUUGAACAUCAAACCCUAUAUCAUAAACACUAAUCCUUUCAUUUUAAACAUGUGAUCUUACAAUUUUAAUUUAAACCAUAAAAUAUAAAUAUAAAAUUAACUAAAUACAUACAGAUUAUUUAAAACUAAAUAUCUUUUUCUUA